rnacentral:lncRNA from 1 species
AAAAAUCAAGUAUUUGCAUGUUUCCAGCUGUUAGAUAGUUUAAGUCUGUUUUGGCCAAUGAUGAUAUUGGAAUUGAGUAGACAAGUAUAGUAUUGUCUGUUAAGACUUUGAUGUGAUUUCUUGUCAUGAUUUGAAUCCUUACCUAUUUGAAACUGAUAUAAUAAGGAUAACACAGUAAAAACAACUAUGUUGACUGAUUGAGUCUAAAUUGACACAUAAUGGACUUCUUGAGGAUAAUACUAGUUUGAAUGAAUGAAAGACAUGAAUAGGCGGAGAUGACUGAAUUUAGACAAAAACGUAAGUUUGGGGGAAAAAAUUGGGAUAUAUAAGCUUCAAAAAAAAAUGAUGAAAAAGAUACUGUGGCUAGUCUUGUUUCGGAGCCUUUGUUACUUGAGCAAGUACGCCCGAGGGAGUGUCUUUACACCUAGCGCCCUAAGGUCUUAUAUGGUCAGGGAGUCGUUGGUCGAAAGCUCGCUAAUGGGUAGCACUGUUAGCCUAAUGGAAUGAGACAUUGCACAGUCAUGGUUAAAAAAAAGAGAUAAAUAAUAAAACGGGAAAAGAGCAAAAAGCCCCCGUAAUGAUAAGUAAAGCAUAAGUAUCCCGGAUUGGACUCUUGAAUUUGGUGGAUGUUUGACUUUAGUUGGAUCUAGCUUGUUCGUGAAUUUUGUGAGUUGACACUAUAUGACGCCUUUAAGGAGAUCUAUUAUGUUUUGUAUUUAGCAUUAUAUUAGUUAGCAUUGUUGUUCAGCACACACGCACUAUAUCAGUAAUAACAGGGUAAGAUUUGAUGAUUGACUAGGAAAUUAUUGAUCUGUCUUGAUAUGAUGUACUAGCAUGUUUAAUCUGAUUUCUCUGAGGCUUGAUGAAUAGAUUUUGUUCUGUUUGACUGCUGAAAUUUUAGGCACGUAGAUAACUGUAUUGCAUAUUUAGUUAUUGCAUUGUGUUUUAUUGCUUGGGGACAAACAAUUGGUUAAAUUUGGGGGUAUUUGAUGAGUAGGUUUUAUACCUAUGAAUCCGAUAUUAUUAAACUUAAUUAUUGCUAUCUUUAAUUGUUUUUUAGUAUCUUUUUAUCUGUUUUGUGUUUAUUUCUUGUAGGUUGGAGCUGGAGGGACAAAUUGGUCAUUUCGGA